GACGAACGCUGGCGGCGUGCUUAACACAUGCAAGUCGAACGGAAAGGCGCUGAUUUUGUGGGGUGCUCGAGAGGCGAACGGGGGAGUAACACGUGAGUAACCUGCACUUGAAAUUGGGAGAACAUCAGGAAACUGGGGCGAAUACCGGAUAGGAGCUCCUGCAGCAUGGUGGGGGUUGGAAAGAUACGGCGGUUGGGGAUGGACUCGCGGCUUAUCAGCUUGUUGGGGGGGUAGUGGCUUACCAAGGCUUUGACGGGUAGCCGGCCUGAGAGGGUGACCGGCCACAUUGGGCCUGAGAUACGGCCCAGACUCCUACGGGAGGCAGCGGUGGGGAGUAUUGCACAAUGGGCGGAAGCCUGAUGCAGCAACGCCGCGUGCGGGAUGACGGCCUUCGGGUUGUGAACCGCUUUCGCCUGUGACGAAGCGUGAGUGACGGUAAUGGGUCAAGAAGCACCGGCUAACUACGUG
rnacentral:rRNA from 1 species